rnacentral:tRNA from 1 species
GGCCCUGUAGCUCAGUGGAUAGAGCACUAGCCUCCGGAGCUAGGUGUCGUACGUUCGAAUCGUACCAGGGUCA